GAGAGCCGUGUGCGGGAAAACCGCACGCACGGUUCGGAGGGAGGGGCGGACCAAACCCGUCCCUACCCCUAU
rnacentral:ncRNA from 1 species